GAUAAAGAACGUAGUGAAAUGCGAUACGUAAUGUGAAUUGCAGAAUUCAGUGAAUCAUCGAGUCUUUGAACGCACAUUGCGCCCCCUGGUAUUCCGGGGGGCAUGCCUGUCCGAGUGUCAUUGCUGCCCUCAAGCACGGCUUGUGUGUUGGGCCUCCGUCCUCCUCCCGGGGGACGGGCCCGAAAGGCAGCGGCGGCACCGCGUCCGGUCCUCGAGCGUAUGGGGCUUCGUCACCCGCUCUUGUAGGCCCGGUCGGCGCUUGCCGACACAUCAAUCUUUUUUCCAGGUUGACCUCGGAUCAGGUAGGGAUACCCGCUGAACUUAAGCAUAUCAAUAAGCGGAGGA
rnacentral:misc_RNA from 1 species